rnacentral:piRNA from 1 species
UCUGGUCUCCUGGAGAUGCGUGGUCGC